GCCUAAUACAUGCAAGUCGAACGGGAUUGAGAGCUUGCUUUCAUGAGAGUGGCGUACGGGUGCAUAACGCGUAUGCAACCUACCUUCAUCAGGGGGAUAGCCCGAAGAAAUUCGGAUUAACACCGCAUAAAAACACAGCUUGGCAUCAAGCAAUGUUCAAAUAUUUAUAGGAUGAAGAUGGGCAUGCGUGUCAUUAGCUAGUUGGUAAGGUAACGGCUUACCAAGGCUACGAUGACUAGGGGAUCUGAGAGGAUGACCCCCCACACUGGUACUGAGACACGGACCAGACUCCUACGGGAGGCAGCAGUAAGGAAUAUUGGUCAAUGGAGGCAACUCUGAACCAGCCAUGCCGCGUGCAGGAAGACUGCCUUAUGGGUUGUAAACUGCUUUUAUACGGGAAUAAACCUUAAUUCGUGAAUUAAGCUGAAUGUACCGUAAGAAUAAGGAUCGGCUAACUCCGUGCCAGCAGCCGCGGUAAUACGGAGGAUCCAAGCGUUAUCCGGAUUUAUUGGGUUUAAAGGGAGCGUAGGCGGCUUGUUAAGUCAGGGGUGAAAGACGGUGGCUCAACCAUCGCAGUGCCUUUGAUACUGACGAGCUUGAAUAUAGUUGAGGUAGGCGGAAUGUGACAAGUAGCGGUGAAAUGCAUAGAUAUGUCACAGAACACCGAUUGCGAAGGCAGCUUACUAAGCUAUUAUUGACGCUGAGGCUCGAAAGCGUGGGGAUCAAACAGGAUUAGAUACCCUGGUAGUCCACGCCCUAAACGAUGAUAACUCGAUGUUGGCGAUAUACAGUCAGCGUCCAAGCGAAAGCGUUAAGUUAUCCACCUGGGGAGUACGCCCGCAAGGGUGAAACUCAAAGGAAUUGACGGGGUCCGCACAAGCGG
rnacentral:rRNA from 1 species